rnacentral:lncRNA from 1 species
UGUCAAUGUUCCUGGUGACUCCCAUGCUUAUUUUAGACACUAGAACAGUCAUCUGUUGUAGGAGAUAUACAGAACUUUGAAUUUCUCUUGGCAGGUAAGAGGUUACAACUUUCUCCUGCAGGACAUGAGAGUGAGGCCCUUCAACAGCCCUUUUUGGCAAGUGGAAAUGUUUUUGCUGGCCAGUACAAUAUGCUUCACAACAGAUGACAAAGGCAGUCCAUUGCUGCCCUCCUAAAUAGGUUAAGCUGUGGUCUUAAUUGCUGAUGGGCCACACUCACUUCUUUUUGCCUGGUACAACAUGACCUUGCUGGGACUGAGAUGCAAGUUUACCAUUGUCCUUCUUCCCUCUUUAAGAAGCGGGAGCUGCAGUCCGUGUCUCUCCCAGUGGCGUUUCUCUGAUGCUUCCCUAGAGCCCAG